rnacentral:lncRNA from 1 species
UUAGGUAAAGCUUCUGAGAAAGGUUGAAGGGCUCCGUUUAAAACCAGGGCAAGGAAGGCCUAUGAGGUUCCUAAAAUAAAAAUCAACCUCAAGGUAGGGAUAUCUAGGCUGAUGAUAUGAGAUCAAAACCUUAAAAUGUGUGAGGUAGGGCUGGUUCCGACACAAUGCAUCAUUCAUAUCACUAUCCCUUCUGGACACAGUGAAAAGAAUGAAGGGAAGAAUUUCUGAGAAUGAGAGUAUCAUCUGAAAGACUUGCAACCUCAGAGUCCAGGUGAAGAGGCUUGGUGUUGAGGGACAGGUCUGAAUAUUGUUGCCUUGUGUAAGCUCCAGGGAGAUGGUUGGACUCGUUAGAGUUGAAGAUAACCCAAGAUGCC